CCCUCCUCACGCCCCGGGCUGGGCUUCGUGAGCCUCGGGCAUCCCCCGGGAGCCGGGAGCUGCUGGUUUCUCUCACCGCCUCCUCUGCUUCUCGUUUGCAGCGGGUUUUUCGGCGAGCCCGACUCCUUCUCCAUGUACGGCGGCAACCGGGUGAAGAGGAGGCCCUCGCCCUACGAGAUGGAGAUCAACGACGAUCGCUUUGAGGUUCGGUCCGAAGGGAGCCGCUGUGCUCGUCUUUGUUGGAGCGCGGGGGCUGGAUCGGGCCAGUGCAGUGCCCGGCUCUGCGUGCAAAGCCUGGCAGCCACCAGCCUUCAACAGGCAGAGCUCAGCAAGGUCCGAGCUACCCCCAAAAUUGCCGGGGAGCAGAGGGGUAAGGGGUGCGGGGUCAGCACCGCAAUCAUCCCGCAGCUGCCGGCACCAUGCUGCAGCCCUGCUAAGGUCCCCUGCCCGGUCCUGGGGGGUCCCAAGGAGCGGGGAUCCCCUUUGUGCUGGGGGAAAGGUGGCAAGGGAAAGGCAGGGCAGGAUCCGGCCAGCUGGGCUGGGCAGCCAGCGGGGCUUGCAGCAGCCCGCGUGGAGCAGGAGGAUGCUCGCACACAAGGAUGCUUGCACAAACGGGCUGGGUGUGCGAGGCUGACACAUCCACCUGCCUGCGGGUCGCCUUCUCUCUAGCAAAUGUAAAUGCUGUGUGUCAGCCGAUGGACAAUUCGCCAUCCUUCCCUCCAGCUCCCUGUCCCCUUCUUCCCAAUCCCAAAUCAGACAAAUCAUAAUCCACAUCACUAAAAUGACACAGUGCAGAAUGAUGGGCUCGCUGUGUUAUCUGCAUUCAUUGCUGCUUCUGUCCCCUUCCAGCUUUCCUUCCUCUUCCAUCUGUCCAGCACAUUCAGCCCAUCCAUCCUGGUGCAGGAGCUGUGUCCCCAGGUGGCUCAGCCCCGCACCACAACCUCGUUUUGUUGGGUUUGGGCAGAGGCUGAGUGCUUGCGGUGAGGUCCCUCAAAUCCUGGUGCCUGCUUCGCCCUCCGGUGCCGUUGUUAAAUUAGGUGUUAGGGACUGCAGAGAUGUUUGGUUGUAACCGAGUUGUUGGCUCUGUGCUCACCAGGUAACGCAGGUCUGUCGUUUGGGCCUGAUCCUGCAGAUUUUGGCUCGUGGAUUUGCAGCAAGGAGGUUUUGGUGCUGAGCACAUGAGGAAUGGGAACAGCAGCGUGCAGUGACUGUGCCACUCUUACAAAACAGAUCUACACAGAGGCAUAAAUGUAAAAAAGCCCUAUCUGUGAGAAUAUUCUGUAGCUUUGGAAGCUCAUCUUUCUGCUAUUUUUUUUCUCAGAUUUGUAAUUGCAAUUAAAAAAGCAUCGAUCAAUCAAUUGGAACAAAAUCCAGGCAGAAAUUCUCAGCCAACCGCUUGGAUUAAUUAUGAAGCGAGCUCCUUCAUGAGAAAUGAAUCUCUUCCAUUUUAUUACAGCUAUGGGGCAUUUUAAAUUUCUGCACUGCUUGACACGCUUUGACCAAAGCCUGGGCUCCUUUUAAAAUACGUGUUUAAUUCAGUUACUGGCCUUGAUGUGGGAUCAAAAAUUGUGGUGGUGCCAGAAUUUAUGUUAGAGUCUUGAGCUUGUUUUGAGUGCCCCCAGAUGAAAUGAAGAUGGUUUUCUGUCUCACUUCAAAAUUUUAGGAACAGGAGCCUCUUAGCAGGCAGCCUUCAGUGAAUGAGAUGCAGGUUUGAUGCCUGUGAAGAAUGAGACUUUUUGAAAAUUAACAUUAUCCACAUUAUUUUUUUCUCAUACUCUAUGUUCCUAAAAAGAUUUUAAGCCGCAUCUCCUUCUAGAUGCAAGGCUGUUUGCUUGGUUUUGUCUGGGAGGAGCGCUGUAGUCUAGGAAUUGUUGCACCCCUAUAGGAGAUGGCAGCAUGCUCUCCAGCAGAGCUGAGUGCUGCAGGUGGUUGAGGUCCCCUCGGUCCCCACCACCUUCCCCAUCACCCUGGGGCACAGAGGGCAAGAGACUUCUCCCUUCCCCGAGCUGUUGCAUGUUAAUUCAUUUGAAAGGCAUUUACGUGCUGCUUGAGAGGGGAAAAUUGGCUUUACUAAGGCAUGAAACUGGGAUCUUAGCAGCUGGAGAUGAGUUUCUCCCUGCCGCCUGCCUCUGCGGUCUGUGGGGACUUCCCUGCUCCUCCUGAGCAGGCAGCAAGGGGCAGGGAGUCCUUUGGGUGCCCGCAUGCUGGAGAAGCUGACAGCUUUACCCUCCUUGGAUGAGUGUCCCCAUGCAGACCCUAUGACCAGGAGCACUUCGUGUGACUGCUGGGCAAGUGUCUCCCAGGGCUACAGGGCAGAGACCUUAGGGCACGGCCAUCGAUGGGUUGUUUGCAAGCCUUUGCUUCGUACUUUGGGAUGGUUUUCUUUGUCUGUCAUGCUUCCUGCUCCUACAGUGGAUUCUGCCAUGGUCUUUCUUCCAUAGUUUGUUAUGUUUUAUAUAUAUAUAUAUAUAUAUAUAUAAUAAAUAAAAUGCAUUUUAUAUAUAUAUAUAAUGC
rnacentral:lncRNA from 1 species